rnacentral:rRNA from 1 species
UAACACGUGGGUAACCUGCCCAAGAGAUCGGGAUAACACCUGGAAACAGAUGCUAAUACCGGAUAAAAGCUACUUUCGCAUGAAAGAAGUUUAAAAGGCGGCGUAAGCUGUCGCUAAAGGAUGGACCUGCGAUGCAUUAGCUAGUUGGUAAGGUAGCGGCUUACCAAGGCGAUGAUGCAUAGCCGAGUUGAGAGAUUGAUCGGCCACAUUGGGACUGAGACACGGCCCAAACUCCUACGGGAGGCAGCAGUG